rnacentral:rRNA from 1 species
UACGUAGACCUCAAGCGUUAUCCGGAUUUAUUGGGCGUAAAGCGCGUGUAGGAGGUUCGGUGCGUCUCUGGUUAAAGAUCACUGCUCAACGGUGAAAGUGCCAGGGAUACGGCCGGACUAGAGGAGGUUAGAGGUGUGCGGAGCGCACGGUGUAGGGGUGAAAUCCGUUGAUAUCGUGCGAAACACCAAAGGCGAAGGCAGCACACUGGGACUUUCCUGACUCUGAGACGCGAAAGCGUGGGGAG